UACGAAGGGGGCUAGCGUUGUUCGGAAUCACUGGGCAUAAAGGGCGCGUAGGCGGCUUUAUAAGUCGGGGGUGAAAGCCUGUGGCUCAACCACAGAAUUGCCUUCGAUACUGUAGAGCUUGAGACCGGAAGAGGUAAGUGGAACUGCGAGUGUAGAGGUGAAAUUCGUAGAUAUUCGCAAGAACACCAGUGGCGAAGGCGGCUUACUGGUCCGGUUCUGACGCUGAGGCGCGAAAGCGUGGGGAGCAAACGGG
rnacentral:rRNA from 1 species